AGGGAAAGAGGGAGGGAGGCAGAACACAGGCAAGUCGAACGGAAGCACAGUAAGAGCUUGCUCUUAUGGGUGGCGAGUGGCGGACGGGUGAGGAAUACAUCGGAAUCUACUUUUUCGUGGGGGAUAACGUAGGGAAACUUACGCUAAUACCGCAUACGACCUACGGGUGAAAGCAGGGGAUCUUCGGACCUUGCGCGAUUGAAUGAGCCGAUGUCGGAUUAGCUAGUUGGCGGGGUAAAGGCCCACCAAGGCGACGAUCCGUAGCUGGUCUGAGAGGAUGAUCAGCCACACUGGAACUGAGACACGGUCCAGACUCCUACGGGAGGCAGAAGUGGGGAAUAUUGGACAAUGGGCGCAAGCCUGAUCCAGCCAUACCGCGUGGGUGAAGAAGGCCUUCGGGUUGUAAAGCCCUUUUGUUAUGAAAGAAAAGCAGCAGGUUAAUACCCCGCUGUUCUGACGGUACCCAAAGAAUAAGCACCGGCUAACUUCGUG
rnacentral:rRNA from 1 species